rnacentral:tRNA from 1 species
GCUGGCGUAGCUCAAUUGGCAGAGCAAUGGUCUUGUAAACCAUAGGUUGCGGGUUCGAUUCCCAUCGCCAGCUCCA